rnacentral:rRNA from 1 species
CCUACGGGAGGCAGCAGUGGGGAAUAUUGCACAAUGGGGGAAACCCUGAUGCAGCGACGCCGCGUGAGUGAAGAAGUAUUUCGGUAUGUAAAGCUCUGUCAGCAGGGAAGUAAAUGACGGUACCUGACCAAGAAGCUCCGGCUAACUACGUGCCAGCAGCCGCGGUAAUACGUAGGGGGCAAGCGUUAUCCGGAUUUACUGGGUGUAAAGGGAGCGUAGACGGUAGGGCAAGUCUGGAGUGAAAGGCGGGGGCUCAACCCCCAGACUGCCCUGGAAACUGGCAGGCUGGAGUGCAGGAGAGGUAAGUGGAAUUCCUAGUGUAGCGGUGAAAUGCGUAGAUAUUAGGAGGAACACCAGUGGCGAAGGCGGCUUACUGGACUGUAACUGACGUUGAGGCUCGAAAGCGUGGGGAGCAAACAGGAUUAGAUACCCCUGUAGUC